GAUGAACGCUGGCGGCAUGCCUAAUACAUGCGAGUCGAACGAGAGGAAGGAAAGCUUGCUUUUCUGAAUCGAGUGGCGAACGGGUGAGUAACACGUAGGUAACCUGCCCAUGUGCCCGGGAUAACUUCUGGAAACGGAUGCUAAAACCGGAUAGGUAGCAGACAAGCAUUUGACUGCUAUUAAAGUGGCUAAGGCCAUGAACAUGGAUGGACCUGCGGUGCAUUAGCUAGUUGGUGAGGUAACGGCCCACCAAGGCGACGAUGCAUAGCCGGCCUGAGAGGGCGGACGGCCACAUUGGGACUGAGUCACGGCCCAAACUCCUACGGGAGGCAGCAGUAGGGAAUUUUCGUCAAUGGGGGGAACCCUGAACGAGCAAUGCCGCGUGAGUGAGGAAGGUCUUCGGAUCGUAAAGCUCUGUUGUAAGAGAAAAACGACAUUCAUAGGGAAUGAUGAGUGAGUGAUGGUAUCUUACCAGAAAGUCACGGCUAACUACGUGCCAGCCGCCGCGGUAAUAC
rnacentral:rRNA from 1 species